AUUUUUCUGUCUCUGGGCCCCUCGUUCUCUUUGUUUUUGGACUCCCCAGUUUCCUCUGUCUUUUGACCCCCCCGCCCCCACCCUGACUCUCCCUGGAACCCCCACGUUUCUCGUUGUCUUUCUGGAACGCCGAGGCAGCCACCCUGAAGGGUCCCUUCCCAAGCCCUUAGGGACCGCAGAGGACUUGGGGACCAGCAAGCAACCCCCAGGGCACGAGAAGAGCUCUUGCUGUCUGCCCUGCCUCACCCUGCCCCACGCCAGGCCCGGUGGCCCCCAGCUGCAUCAAGUGGAGGCGGAGGAGGAGGCGGAGGAGGGUGGCACCAUGGGCCCGGGCGGUGCCCUCCAUGCCCGGGGGAUGAAGACACUGCUGCCAUGGACAGCCCGUGCCAGCCGCAGCCCCUAAGUCAGGCUCUCCCUCAGUUACCAGGGUCUUCGUCAGAGCCCUUGGAGCCUGAGCCUGGCCGGGCCAGGAUGGGAGUGGAGAGUUACCUGCCCUGUCCCCUGCUCCCCUCCUACCACUGUCCAGGAGUGCCUAGUGAGGCCUCGGCAGGGAGUGGGACCCCCAGAGCCACAG
rnacentral:lncRNA from 10 species